rnacentral:rRNA from 1 species
CCUGAUAAACAUAGGAGGUCCAGCCUGCCCAGUGACAACGUUCAACGGCCGCGGUACCCUAACCGUGCGAAGGUAGCAUAAUCACUUGUUCUUUAAAUGGGGACUCGUAUCAAAGGCACCACGAGGACUAUACUGUCUCCCCUCUCCAAUCAGUGAAACUGAUCCCCCCGUGAAGAAGCGGGGAUUUAACUAUAAGACGAGAAGACCCCAUGGAGCUUUAGACUUAAUAUACACCCUUGCUCAACAUAACAGUAAAGCUAUUAAGAUAUGUAUAUUGUCUUCGGUUGGGGGGACCGCGGAGUAAAACUUAACCUCCACGACAAACGGGUUAACACCCUUAUCCAAGAAACACAUUUCUAAGAGUCAAUAAAUUGUUGUUUAUGACCCAUUUUAUGAUUAACGAACCA